GAUGAACGCUGGCGGCGUGCCUAAUACAUACAAGUCGAGCGAACGGACGAGAAGCUUGCUUUUCUGAUGUUAGCGGCGGACGGGUGAGUAACACGUGGAUAACCUACCUAUAAGACUGGGAUAAAUUCGGGAAACCGGAGCUAAUACCGGAUAAUAUUUUGAACCGCAUGGUUCAAAAGUGAAAGACGGUCUUGCUGUCACUUAUAGAUGGAUCCGCGCUGCAUUAGCUAGUUGGUAAGGUAACGGCUUACCAAGGCAACGAUGCAUAGCCGACCUGAGAGGGUGAUCGGCCACACUGGAACUGAGACACGGUCCAGACUCCUACGGGAGGCAGCAGUAGGGAAUCUUCCGCAAUGGGCGAAAGCCUGACGGAGCAACGCCGCGUGAAUGAUGAAGGUCUUCGGAUCGUAAAACUCUGUUAUUAGGGAAGAACAUAUGUGUAAGUAACUGUGCACAUCUUGACGGUACCUAAUCAGAAAGCCCCGGCUAACUACGUG
rnacentral:rRNA from 1 species